rnacentral:rRNA from 1 species
UACGGAGGGGGCUAGCGUUGUUCGGAAUUACUGGGCGUAAAGCGCACGUAGGCGGCUUUGCAAGUUAGAGGUGAAAGCCCGGGGCUCAACCCCGGAAUUGCCUUUAAAACUGCAUCGCUUGAAUUGUGGAGAGGUAAGUGGAAUUCCGAGUGUAGAGGUGAAAUGCGUAGAUAUUGGGAGGAACACCAGUGGCGAAGGCGGCUCACUGGACCGGAACUGACGCUGAGGCGCGAAAGCGUGGGGAGCAAACAGG